CUUCCGGUUCAGACCGCGGCUUGUAUUGGUGCCGCAUGCUAGCUGCAAAGUAAUGCGCGCGUGAACAAUGCGCUUAAUGACGCGCUGAUCGCCGAUCAAUCGUCCUUCUGGUAAGAAUCUUCCCACACURGACYUUUGUUAGCUUAGCUUUAGCUUAGCUUUUGUUACAUAUCCAGGCUGCCUGCACACGCUCCCAGUUCCUCCUUCACUGUUAGAGGCACUACUUAAAGAAGCUCAAGUGGUGAGUGAACUGCUAGUUUUUGCAUGAGUUUUAGAUUCUAUUUCUAACAUUUAUUUUUGAUAGCCGCUGCUGUUUGUCCUGGGCUGACUGUCUGUCCUUGGCUGGCUGUCUGCCUGCUGUUCUGGUUGCCCCCGACUGGUGGUCCGUCUGCCAGCUGGAUAAUCUGUCGGCCACUUACCUGUCGUCCUGUGUGCUGGCUUUGGGGCUCGCCGUCCUGGUCGGCGUAAAGCUGGCUCCUAUCACUGUCCAGUGUGGCUGAUUGGUGAUCAGCUCCGACUACCCUUCUGGUGCUGCCCUGAGUGGUGUCUAUUACGACGGAUCGGUUGCUUCCAGGACUGACUUUCUGAAUUUGGACUAUUACUGCUUGAUUUAUUGUAGACUGAUUGGUAUUUUAUUGUUUGUAAUUUUAUUAAAGUGCCUUUUAUUUUUACAGGAACGGCCAGCUCGUGGUGUUGGUGGUGGACUUUCCGGGUGGUGGGACUCCUAAUUGGUUUGGUGCACGAUUUUCUUUUGUUUGCUUUGUUCCGUUUGCUGGGUUUCUCUUUUCUUUAGGACACUACCCUGAAUUUCACUUCUCCCUGAGUUGAGCCAGACUGAUUUUUAAUGUGAGGUUUUAAUCUAGUAUUUUUGAAUUAAAAUCAGGAUAUAAUAAACAAACUUAUGGAAUUGUGAAA